UUGAAACUUACACAAACACUCACUGUAUUAUUGCAGAAGAGAGAGAGAAUGGAGAGAGAAAGGAAGAGGAAGAGGACAAGAAGAGGAAAGAGAGGAGGAAAGGAAGAGGCAUUUGGAAACAAUUUGUGCCGAAGACAGAAAGUACACCUAACGUUAAGCUGAAAAAACUGGACGCUCCCAGCAAACUCACUUUGCAGACUCCUGGUUGUCAGAAGAAAACGCCAGAGGAUUUCACUUGGCAUUGACCUCUUACUACUUCCAGCCACUUACCCUGGGCAGUAGAAAGAAGGAACAGAAAGCAGAGUAGAUUAAGAGGAGCAAGUACAAAUGGCGUGGGACUUCAAAUCACCACCUAAGAUUACUUCUUUGAUUUCUGAAAAAGUAGGUCAAAGGAAGAUGUCAGGGGCAAGAAACCAAUUGGGUGUUGUGCCUAAGAACGUGGACCCUGUGGCCAGACUGCUUGGAUCAGUGUCCUCCCUCCACCACUUUGUAGCCAUCUGACCUCAGGCAAGUUACUUCACCUCUCUAUGCCUUGGCUCCUCAUUUAUAAACUGGUGAUAUGAACAGAGCCUGUGUUCUAGGAUUGCUGUGACAAUUACAUAGAAAUGAGUCAACAUGUACAUAGCACACAGAACAAUGCCAGGCACACAGCAAGUGCUAUUUAUGUUCUUCUUUCUUCCUCCUCCUCCUCUUCCUCCUCCUCUUCUUACUUUAUGCCAUUCUGAUAAACACUAUUUUAUUUAUUUUAUAAUUUAGGAACUGAUUCUAAACUACAUUAAGUAAUUUGUUUAAGGUCGAGCAUCUAGUGAGUGUUGGGCACUGUGUUGGAGCUUCAGUCUGUCUGACUUCAAGGCCUGUGCUCCUUUCAAGGUGAGGUGUUUGACACAUCCCCUGCUUGCCAUCCUGGUGGCAUUCUCUCAACCACCAAAGCUUAUGAAAACAUGCCACUCAGGUUAGCUUCCACCGGACACUGACAGAGGAGCAAUUAUACCUCCGCCAAAGAAAAUUCUCAAUGCCAAUAAGGGUUCUGGCUACUGUGGUAUACUUAGAGGAAAUGAAUUUAGGAAGUUUUAAUUAAGAUUUCAAGGAUGAGAAGAGGAAAAUAUGAAGGAGACGGAAUAAAUAUUCUUCUACUUUGAUUGGGAGGGUCAAAAUUCGCUUUCGCUGUCUUAUGAAGGUUGAAGUUCUAGGAUUCAGGAAUAGGAUUCUUUGCUAUUGGGUAUUAAAAAGCAAUAGAGCUCCAAAUAUAUGCAAUCAAUCCAUCCCAUCUUUAGGGAAACCUAAAUCUAAGCCACCUAGUAUAGAGAGCCACUUGUCCUGUGAGUAAAGACUUUUACAAGAUUUAACAGAGAAUAGGAGCAGGAAAGAGACCAACGUAAGGCAGUUGCUAGAACAACAGAAUUGCUUUACAGUUCUGACUUCACAACCUCAUUUUCCUGACCUGAUAGUUCUGAGACGAACUUCUCUGGGUGCAUCUAGAAUCUAUUCCUUCUGUGAGGUGGUCACCAGGCCUGGUGACCUUUUAAGUUUAAUGUAUUAGAGCCAGCUGGGUCUUUGAGCCAGUGGAAGGAGACUGUGUGAACACUUGUAAGCCAUGUGCCUUUGUCCAGUAGCGUUUCAGUGCUACCUAAGCAUCUCUACAGCUAUUGUGUCUGACCUGCUCUGGGGAUUGAAACAUAUAGUUGGAACAGGAGGCAGUGGCUUUUUUUUUUUCUUCGAUAGAUUUCUAAAACCUUUAAAUGAAGUACUGCAUAUAUACAGAAAAGUACAUAGAGCAUAAGUAUAUAGUCCAGUGAGCUAUCACAAAAUGAAUGUACCUGUGUAAGUGCCACUCAGGUUAAAGAAUAGAGCAUUAUCAGCACCCAAGAAACCCACUGAAUAUUCCCUCCAAUUUAUCAUGCUCUUCCUUCUCUCCAAAGGUUACCACUGUCCUGACUUAUAACGCCAUAGGUUAGUUUUAUUUGCAUUUGAGCCACAUAUAAUUAGAAUGAUACAUUCUGUAUUCUUUCAGGUCUGGUGACUUUCACUUACUGUUACAUUUGAAAGUUUUAGUAGAUUUGCAUGUAAUAGGAGUUCAUGUAUUUUUACUGCUGAAUAGUUUUCCAUUCUAUAAAUAUACUAUGAGUUAUUUACCCAUUCAACUGUCCCUUUAAUGGACAUUUAGGUUGUUUAAAAUUUGAGGUUAUUAUGAAUAAUGCUGCCACAAACAUUCUUAUACAUGUCUUUUGUGUAUAUUUCUGUGGGAGUACAUAUCUGCAAGUGGAAUUGCUGAGUCAGAAAGUAUGCAUGUAGUACUCAGCGUUAGAGGAACCUUGCCAAAGAGUUUUCCAAAGUGGAAAUGUGCCAGUUUACGCUUCCACCAACAGUGUGUAUGUUCAAAAUCCUUGCUAACAUUUGGUAUUGUCAGGCUUUUAAAUUAUGAUUGUUCCAAUAGGUGUGUAGUAGCAUGUCAUUGUGGUUUUAAUUUUUAUUUUCCUGAAGACUGAUAAAGUUGAGUACCUUUGGAAAUGUUAAUUGGCAAUUUGGCUACCUUUGGUGAAGUGCCUGAACAUGGCACUGGGUUAUUUGUCUUCCUUAUUAAUUUGUAGUUUUCACUUAUCCUGGACAUGCGUUAUAUGUGUUGCAAAUAAUUUCUCCCACUAUGUGGGUUGCCUCUUCGGUACUUUAAUGGUAUUUUGGGGUGAACAGAACGUCUUAAAAUUAAAGGACCACAAUGUAUCUUUGCCUUUUUGAUUAGGACAUUUUGUGACUAUUUAAAAAUCUUCUAAGAUCAUAAAGAUAUUCUCCCAUGUUAACUUCUAGAACAGGGGUUGGCAAACUAUGGACUGUGAUCCAAAUCCAUUCUGCCAACUGUUUUUGUAAAUAAAGUUUUAUUGGGAUACAGUCAUGCUCAUUCAUUUACACAUCACCCAUGACUACUUUUGUGCUACAACAGACCUUAUGGCACACAAAGCCCAGAAUGUUUAUUCUCUGGCUCUUUACAGAAAAAGUUUGCCAAACCCUCUAGAAGAUUUAUUGUUUUGCCUUUCACAUUUGGAAUGGUAUUUGUGUAUAGUGUGUGAUAGGGAUCAAGAUUUUUUUUCCAUAUGAAUAUGUAAUUGAACCAGUGUCAUUUAUUAAGGGCUUAGCCUUUCCCCAUGAUUCCCUAUGUCAUAAAUCAAAUCAAGUAUACAUAUAUGUGUGGAUCUGUUUCCAGAUUUUCAAUUCUUUUUAUUGGUCCAUUUUUCUAUCCCAUGACCAAUACGACUCUGUUUUACUUGGUGCACUUUUAAAAGUGAGUCACGAUAUCUUCCCACUUCAUUUUUCUUCAAGGUUGUCUCUGUUACUGUUAAGACUUGACAUAUCUGUAUUAGUUUUUGAAUAGGCCUGUCAAUUUCCUCAAAACACCUUCCUGGGAUUUAGAUUGGCAUUAUAUUGAUUCUGUAGAUCAAUUUGGAGAGGUUUGACUUAUUUACAGUGAUGAGAUCCUUCCAGUUCAUAAAAGUGAUGUAUUUUUUAAUUUAUUUAGGUCUUCUUCAAUUUCUUUCAAUAAUAUUUAGACCUGACUUUGAUAUCCUGUACAUAUUUUGAUUGGUUUAUUUCUAGGUAUCUUUGAUGCUAUGAUAAUUUAUGUCAACACUAGCUUUUGUGUAAAAGAAAAAAACUACUAACUAGUCACCUACUGAUAUGGUUUAGCUCUGUGUCCCCAUCCAAAUCUCAUGGCAAAUUGUAAUCCCCAAUGUUGGAGGAGGGGUCUGGUGGGAGGUGAUUUGAUCCUGGGGGCAGAUUUUCCCCCUGCUAUUCUCACAACAGUGAGUUCUCACGUGAUCUAGUUGUUUAGAAGGGUGUAGCACUUACCCCUUCUUAUUCUUCCUCCUUCUCUGGCCAUGUAAGAUGCGCCUCCUUCCUCUUCAUCUUCUACUGAUGAUUGUCAGUUUCCUGAGGCCUCCCAGCCAUGCUCCCUGUGCAGCCUGCAGAAUCAGGAGCCAAU
rnacentral:lncRNA from 10 species